rnacentral:rRNA from 1 species
AAGCGUACACAGGUGGCUGCAUGGCUGUCGUCAGCUCGUGCCGUGAGGUGUUCGGUUAAGUCCGACAACGAGCGCAACCCUUGUUGCCAGUUAUACUUUACUGGCGAGACUGCUGGCAUAUAACCAGAGGAAGGUGGGGAUGACGUCAAGUCAGUAUGGCCUUUAUGUCCAGGGCUACACACACGCUACAAUGGCCGGUACAGAGGGUAGCCAAGCCGCGAGGCGGAGCCCAAGUCCCACAAAGCCGGUCGUAGUCCGGAUCGCAGUCUGCAACUCGACUGCGUGAAGUCGGAAUCGCUAGUAAUCGCGGAUCAGCAUGUCGCGGUGAAUACGUUCCCGGGUCUU